UACCGCACUGUGGGUACUUGCU
rnacentral:ncRNA from 4 species